ACAGAGGGGGCCAGCGUUAUUCGGAAUUAUUGGGCGUAAAGGGCGCGUAGGCGGCCAUGCGUGUCUUCCGUGAAAUCCCUCGGCUUAACCGAGGACGUGCGGAAGAAACUGCAAGGCUCGAGUCCGGAAGAGGGGGGCGGAAUUCCCAGUGUAGCGGUGAAAUGCGUAGAUAUUGGGAGGAACACCUGUGGUGUAGACAGCUUACUGGACCAUUUCUGACGCUGAGACACGAAAGCGUGGGUAGCAAACAGGA
rnacentral:rRNA from 1 species